UGCUAUACAUGCAGUCGAGCGCAGGAAGCAAGUUGAUCCCCUUCGGGGGUGACGCUUGUGGAAUGAGCGGCGGACGGGUGAGUAACACGUGGGCAACCUGCCUGUAAGACUGGGAUAACCCCGGGAAACCGGGGCUAAUACCGGAUAAUACUUUCUUUUGCAUAAAGGAAAGUUGAAAGGCGGCUUCGGCUGUCACUUACAGAUGGGCCCGCGGCGCAUUAGCUAGUUGGUGAGGUAACGGCUCACCAAGGCGACGAUGCGUAGCCGACCUGAGAGGGUGAUCGGCCACACUGGGACUGAGACACGGCCCAGACUCCUACGGGAGGCAGCAGUAGGGAAUCUUCCGCAAUGGACGAAAGUCUGACGGAGCAACGCCGCGUGAGUGAUGAAGGUUUUCGGAUCGUAAAACUCUGUUGUUAGGGAAGAACAAGUACGAUAGUAACUGAUCGUACCUUGACGGUACCUAACCAGAAAGCCACGGCUAACUACGUGCCAGCAGCCGCGGUAAUACGUAGGUGGCAAGCGUUGUCCGGAAUUAUUGGGCGUAAAGCGCUCGCAGGCGGUCCUUUAAGUCUGAUGUGAAAUCUCGCGGCUCAACCGCGAACGGUCAUUGGAAACUGGAGGACUUGAGUACAGAAGAGGAGAGUGGAAUUCCACGUGUAGCGGUGAAAUGCGUAGAGAUGUGGAGGAACACCAGUGGCGAAGGCGACUCUCUGGUCUGUAACUGACGCUGAGGAGCGAAAGCGUGGGGAGCGAACAGGAUUAGAUACCCUGGUAGUCCACGCCGUAAACGAUGAGUGCUAGGUGUUAGGGGGUUUCCCGCCCCUUAGUGCUGAAGUUAACGCAUUAAGCACUCCGCCUGGGGGAGUACGGCGCAAGGCUGAACUCAAAGAUUGACGGGGCCCGCACAGCGGUAGAGCAUGUGUUU
rnacentral:rRNA from 2 species